CCUCAAAGGCAUUCAGAACAGUAAGCUGGUCUCACUUAGCAUUCGAAAGAACUCAAGGAACCUUACUGGUAACGAAAGCAUCGAUCUGGCAUACAGAAAGUGUGUGGUCUAGGAAUAAAACAUACUUGGCUCAUGAAGGAAGCAGCUAGAAGGAAAUGUUUGUGUUAAUACAGUCCUCAUUUCCAAGGAGAGACUUUCUUUGUGGGAACUUUAAGGUCUUGAGCAGAAGCAGAGGGGUGCUGUUCUUCAAGGCCUUGGUGAUUAGAGUUUUUAUUUCCAUCCAGCAACUGUUAUUUAUUCACACAAAAGUCCUGCAGAGAGACUGAGAGACUUCAACAGACUGUGAUAGCUCCGGAGAUGGAGCGGGGUGGGGUUGUAUCUUAUAUGGAGAGGCCUAUCCCUGAAGUUGCAUGGAGCAUUGGGGAACUUCAGGUUUUGUACCGUGGCUGGGCUUUUGAUCAUGUGAAUAAAUAGGUCUUCUGCAGA